UUUCCAGACUCCUACGGGAGGCAGCAGUGGGGGAUAUUGCACAAUGGGGGAAACCCUGAUGCAGCGACGCCGCGUGUGGGAAGACGGUCCUCUGGCUUGUAAACCACUGUCCCCAGGGACGAAGAUGACGGUACCUGGGGAGGAAGCUCCAGCUAACUACGUGCCAGCAGCCGCGGUAAUACGUAGGGAGCGAGCGUUGUCCGGAAUUACUGGGUGUAAAGGGAGCGCAGACGGCAGUGCAAGUCUGGAGUGAAAGCCCGUGGCUUAACCACGGGACUGCUCUGGAAACUGUGCAGCUAGAGUGCAGGAGAGGCAGGCGGAAUUCCUAGUGUAGCGGUGAAAUGCGUAGAUAUUAGGAGGAACACCGGUGGCGAAGGCGGCCUGCUGGACUGUAACUGACGUUGAGGCUCGAAAGCGUGGGGAGCAAACAGGAUUAGAUACCCCCGUA
rnacentral:rRNA from 1 species